rnacentral:rRNA from 1 species
AUGGGGCGAACCACACCUAACCCUAUAUGGUGUCAGAUAUGGAAGUUAUCAUGUCCGACAGAAGUCAAAAAUUUUAUUUGGCGUACAUUACAUGGCACUCUCCCAUGCCGGGCAACACUCGCUAAUAGACACAUGAAGGUUUCGCCCUUGUGUCCUACUUGCUCUUAGGGUGUAGAAGACAUGAAACACAUGCUUUUUCUAUGUACUAAAGCAAAGGAGGUCUGGAAGAGACUAGGGAUGGAGGACAUUAUUGAUAGAGCUUGUGAAGUUGAUCGUGCUGGAGAGGCGAUAUUGGAAUACCUUUUACUUCUUCCAGAGCAAGAUUUGCAUAUUAUGGGGUACCAAAAUGUACGAGAAAUGAUGGCUAUUUCAGCUUGGUAUCUAUGGUGGGAGAGA